rnacentral:rRNA from 1 species
UACGGGGGGGGGCAAGCGUUGUUCGGAAUUACUGGGCGUAAAGGGUUCGUAGGUGGCCUGCUAAGUCAGACGUGAAAUCCCUCAGCUUAACUGGGGAACUGCGUCUGAUACUGGAUGGCUUGAAUUCGGGAGAGGGAUGCAGAAUUCCAGGUGUAGCGGUGAAAUGCGUAGAUAUCUGGAGGAAUACCGGUGGCGAAGGCGGCAUCCUGGACCGACAUUGACGCUGAUGAGCGAAAGCUAGGGGAGCAAACGGGG